rnacentral:tRNA from 1 species
GGUGCGGUGGCAGAGUGGCCAAUUGCAACGGUUUGCAAAACCGUAAAAUCGCCGGUUCGAAUCCGGCCCGCACCU